rnacentral:rRNA from 1 species
UGAGACCUGAUGCCGAGCCGAUUGUGGUGAAGUGGAUGAUCCUAUGCUGUCGAGAAAAAGCCUCUAGCGAGUUUCAUGGCGGCCCGUACCCUAAACCGACUCAGGUGGUCAGGUAGAGAAUACCGAGGCGUUCGGGUGAACUAUGGUUAAGGAACUCGGCAAAAUGCCCCCGUAACUUCGGGAGAAGGGGGGCCACGUCCGGUGAUUGGAUUUACUCCAUGAGCUGGGGGUGGCCGCAGAGACCAGCGAGAAGCGACUGUUUACUAAAAACACAGGUCCGUGCGAAGCCGUAAGGCGAUGUAUACGGACUGACGCCUGCCCGGUGCUGGAACGUUAAGGGGACCGGUUAGUCACUCUUCGGGGUGGCGAAGCUGAGAACUUAAGCGCCAGUAAACGGCGGUGGUAACUAUAACCAUCCUAAGGUAGCGAAAUUCCUUGUCGGGUAAGUUCCGACCUGCACGAAUGGCGUAACGACUUCUCGACUGUCUCAACCAUAGGCCCGGUGAAAUUGCACUACGAGUAAAGAUGCUCGUUUCGCGCAGCAGGACGGAAAGACCCCGGGACCUUUACUACAGUUUGAUAUUGGUGUUCGGUUCGGCUUGUGUAGGAUAGGUGGGAGACUGUGAAGCAGGGACGCCAGUUCUUGUGGAGUCGUCGUUGAAAUACCACUCUGGUCGUGCUGGAUGUCUAACCUGGUCCGUGAUCCGGAUCAGGGACAGUGUCUGAUGGGUAGUUUAACUGGGGCGGUUGCCUCCUAAAGAGUAACGGAGGCGCCCAAAGGUUCCCUCAGCCUGGUUGGCAAUCAGGUGUUGAGUGUAAGUGCACAAGGGAGCUUGACUGUGAGACCGACGGGUCGAGCAGGGACGAAAGUCGGGACUAGUGAUCCGGCGGUGGCUUGUGGAAGCGCCGUCGCUCAACGGAUAAAAGGUACCCCGGGGAUAACAGGCUGAUCUUCCCCAAGAGUCCAUAUCGACGGGAUGGUUUGGCACCUCGAUGUCGGCUCGUCGCAUCCUGGGGCUGGAGUCGGUCCCAAGGGUUGGGCUGUUCGCCCAUUAAAGCGGUACGCGAGCUGGGUUUAGAACGUCGUGAGACAGUUCGGUCCCUAUCCGCUGCGCGCGCAGGAAUAUUGAGAAGGGCUGUCCCUAGUACGAGAGGACCGGGACGGACGAACCUCUGGUGUGCCAGUUGUUCUGCCAAGGGCAUGGCUGGUUGGCUACGUUCGGGAGGGAUAACCGCUGAAAGCAUCUAAGCGGGAAGCCUGCUUCGAGAUGAGUAUUCCCACCCCCUUGAGGGGUUAAGGCUCCCAGUAGACGACUGGGUUGAUAGGCCGGAUCUGGAAGCCAGUAAUGGGUGGAGGUGACCGGUACUAAUAGGCCGAGGGCUUGUCCU